CCUGUCAGUGUGUGUGUCAGUAUGUAUGUCAGUGUAUGUGUCUGUGUGUCAGUAUGUGUGUCGAUAUAUGUGUAUCAGUAUGUCUGUCAGUUUGUGUCUAUGUGUGUCAGUAUGUAUUUCAGUAGAUGUGUCAGUAUGUCUUUCAAUGUUUGUGUCGGUGUGUGUCCAUAUGUCUGUCAGUGUGUGUGUGGGUGUCAGCAUGUCUGUCAGUGAAUAUAUGUGUGUCAGUAUGUUU